rnacentral:rRNA from 1 species
AGAGCGAACGCUGGCGGCAGGCCUAAUACAUGCAAGUCGAGCGGCCACUUCGGUGGCAGCGGCGGACGGGUGAGUAACGCGUGGGAAUGUGCCCUUUGGUACGGAACAACUGAGGGAAACUUCAGCUAAUACCGUAUGUGCCCUUCGGGGGAAAGAUUUAUUGCCAUUGGAGCAGCCCGCGUUGGAUUAGCUAGUUGGUGGGGUAAAGGCCCACCAAGGCGACGAUCCAUAGCUGGUCUGAGAGGAUGAUCAGCCACACUGGGACUGAGACACGGCCCAGACUCCUACGGGAGGCAGCAGUAGGGAAUCUUGCGCAAAUGGGCGAAAAGCCUGACGCAGCCAUGCCGCGUGAAUGAUGAAGGUCUUAGGAUUGUAAAAAUUCUUUCACCGGGGAAGAUAAUGACGGUACCCGGAGAAGAAGCCCCGGCUAACUUCGCGCCAGCAGCCGC